UACGAAGGGGGCUAGCGUUGCUCGGAAUCACUGGGCGUAAAGCGCACGUAGGCGGCUUACUAAGUCAGGAGUGAAAUCCUGGAGCUCAACUCCAGAACUGCCUUUGAUACUGGUAGCUCGAGUCCGGGAGAGGUGAGUGGAACUGCGAGUGUAGAGGUGAAAUUCGUAGAUAUUCGCAAGAACACCAGUGGCGAAGGCGGCUCACUGGCCCGGUACUGACGCUGAGGUGCGAAAGCGCGGGGAGCAAAGCAGG
rnacentral:rRNA from 1 species